UACGUAGGGUGCAAGCGUUGUCCGGAAUCAUUGGGCGUAAAGAGCGUGUAGGCGGCCCGGUAAGUCCGCUGUGAAAGUCAAAGGCUCAACCUUUGAAUGUCAGCGGAUACUGCCGGGCUAGAGUCCGGAAGAGGCGAGUGGAACUCCUGGUGUAGCGGUGGAAUGCGCAGAUAUCAGGAAGAACACCAACGGCGAAGGCAGCUCGCUGGGGACGGUACUGACGCUGAGACGCGAAAAGCGUGGGGGAGCGAACAGG
rnacentral:rRNA from 1 species